CGGCAAUAAAGGCAAAGCAGAGAGUUCAAGUACGCAACCCCGUCCAUUCCCCUCCCCCGACCCCGAGCGGUCGAGCGCCGCCUCCGCCGGCUUCCGUCGUCGACCACCUCCUGGUGCUGCCGUCGUCAACCACCUCGCCGUAGACCACGAAGCCGCAGUACUGGAGGGAAAGAGGAGAAGAGGAGGAAGCGCAGCGCGUGCAGCUGCCUGCCGUCGAGUUGAGGGUCGACCGCCGCCGUCUCCACCUGUCCGCCGUCGACCACCUCCUCGCCGGCUCGCUGCUGUCGAUAAGAGAUGACCACGAAGCUGGAGGAGGGGGAGGAUGUGCCUGCACCUGCACGCCGUCUCCCCUGCACCUGUUCGAUCUCCUCUGUCCUCUCCUCUGCAUUAUCCCAUCUCUGACCGAGACCCAGGCGAUCAAGAUAUGCAAUAGAGUAUUCCAGUGGAUCAGGGAUCUCACACCACCAUUUUCUUCUCCGCCGUGGACUGCAGUUGUGUGCUGCGAGCUCCGAUGGCAGAGCUCGUGGCCACCAUGGUGGUCGGGCCAUUGCUCUCAGUCGUGAAGGACAAGGUGUCCAGCUACCUGCUUGACCAGUACAAGGUGAUGGAGGGCAUGGAGGAGCAGCACAGGGUGCUCAAGCGCAAGCUGCCGGCCAUCUUGGACGUCAUUGAUGACGCCGAGCAGACCGCGUCCCACAGAGAAGGGGCCAAGGCUUGGCUCGAGGAGGUCAAGAGGGUGGCCUACGAGGCUAACGGGCUCUUCGACGAGUUCAACUACGAGGCGCUCCGCCGCGAGGCCAGGAAGAACGGGCACUAUGGCGAGCUCGGCUUCAAUGCAGUAAAGCUCCUCACCACCCACAACCGUUUUACGUUCCGCGACAGGAUGGGGAAGAAGCUGUGCAGGAUUGUGCAGGCCAUCGAAGUCCUUGUGGCUGAGAUGAACGCCUUUGGGUUUAAGUAUCAGCAGCAAGCACCAGAGUCCAUGCGGUGGAGGCAGAUGGACCAUGUUAUCUUCGAUCCGAAGAAAAUCAUCAGCAGAUCGAGAAGCCGAGACACUAAGAAUAUUGUUGGUACAUUACUUGGUCAAGCCAACAAUGCGGAUCUCUCGGUCAUUCCCAUCGCUGGAGUAGGGGGCCUAGGCAAGACCACCUUGGCGCAGCUAAUUUACAAUGAACCUGAAAUUCAGAAGCAUUUCGAGUUGCUGAUCUGGGUUUGUGUCUCUGACAGCUUUGAUGUGGAUUCCCUGGCUAAAAGAAUAGUUGCAUUUCAUCUAGAAAAAGAUGUAGUUGAAGCAGCAGCUUCCAAGAAAAGCCCACUGGAUAGUCUUCAAGACGUACUAAGCGGGCAUAGGUACCUCCUUGUAUUGGAUGACGUCUGGAACCGAGAAAGUGAUAAGUGGGAAAAGCUCAAGGACCGCCUUACACAUGGUGCCAACGGCAGUGUGGUUCUGACAACUACUCGUGAUGAAGGAGUCGCAAAAAUAAUGGGUACAGUUAAACCCUAUAAUCUCGCAGCUUUGGAGGAUAACUUCAUAAAGGAAAUUAUCGAGACAAGAGCAUUCAGUUUGCAGAAGGAAGAAGAAAGGCUUGCUGUGCUAGUUAAUAUGGUUGAUGAGAUCGUGAAGAGAUGCCGUGGCUCUCCUUUGGCCGCAACAGCGCUGGGCUCUGUGCUGCGUACAAAGACAAGUGAAGAAGAAUGGAAGGCUAUAUCAAGCAGAAGCAACAUUUGCACCGAGGAGUCUGGAAUUUUACCAAUACUCAAGCUCAGCUACAAUGACUUGUCAUCACAAAUGAAGCAAUGCUUUGCUUUCUGUGCUGUUUUCCCCAAGGAUUACGAGAUUGAUGUAGACAAACUGAUCCAACUAUGGAUAGCACAUGGCUUCAUCCAGGACCACAAAGAAGUUAGUCCUGAAACCAUUGGCAACCGGAUUUUCAGCGAGUUGGCCUCAAGUUCAUUCUUUGUGGAUGUGAAGCAAUUAAAAGCCACAUCCUAUGAACGCAUGGUGGGGGGUAGUUAUUACAAACGUACAUGUAAAAUCCAUGAUCUUAUGCAUGAUGUUGCGCUGUCUACAAUGGAGAAUGAAUGUGGUUUUGCACCCAAGGAACCAAAUCGGAUUGAGUGGCUUCCAGAUACAGCUCGCCACUUACUUUUGUCUUGUGAAAAACCAGAAAUUGUUUUGAAUGGUUCUCUGGCAAGAAAAUCUCCAGCUAUUCAGACACUCCUGUGUGAUAGUUAUAUGGAAUACCCACUGCAGCAUUUAUCAAAAUAUAGCACUUUGAAGGCAUUACAGCUCCAUACGCGGAGAAGUCCAUUCCCCUUCAAAUCAAAGCAUCUUCAUCACCUAAGGUACCUUGAUCUCUCAAGAAGUGAUUUUGAAGCACUUCCUGAAGAUAUAAGCAUUCUAUAUAACCUGCAAACAUUGAAAAUCUCUGGCUGUCAAGAACUGCGUCGGUUUCCAAGACAAAUGAAGUAUAUGACUGCUCUCCGUCACCUCUACACUCAUGGUUGUCCAAAGAUGAGGAGCAUGCCUGGUGACCUCCGGAAACUCAUGUCCCUACAGACGCUUACGUGUUUUGUAGCAGGCCGUACUGGCUCUAAGUGCAGCAAUGUUGGAGAGUUGCAGCAUUUAAAUCUUGGUGGUCAGCUAGAGCUAAAACAGCUAGAGAAUGUGACAGAAGAAGAUGCAAAAGCAGCAAAUCUUGGAAAGAAGAAGGAACUCCGAGAACUGACAUUAAAAUGGACUGUUGGUUCUAGGGAUGAUGCAAGGGUGCUCGAGUGUGUCAAGCCUCAUCAUGGCCUGCAGUCUCUAAGGAUAGAAUCCUACGGAGGCACCACAUUUCCAACAUGGAUGGCUAUGUCGCGAAACAUGGUUGAAAUCCAUCUCUCCUAUUGUAAAAACCUACAAUGGCUAUUCAGUUCUGGUGCAUCCUUCAGUUUUCCAAAUCUGAAGGAGUUUACACUUCGAGGUCUGGAAUGUUUGGAGGGAUGGUGGGAAUCAAGUAACAAGGAACAAGGAAAAGAGGUAAUAUUUCCUCAGCUUGAGAAGUUGCAUAUUCUUGACUGUGCAAAGCUGACAACAUUGCCAGCAACACUGCUUGGAGAAUCUCACGGUAGAAUGGCACGCUCAGCAUUUCCUACAUUGAAGGUUCUCGAAUUGAGAUACUUGAGGAGCUUUGAGAGAUGGGAUGCAGUCGAAGGACCUCAAGGAGCAGAGAUAAUGUUUCCUCAGCUUGAGGAGUUGUAUGUUGCACACUGUGGAAUGAUCAAAGCAUCAUCGGGACAACAAAAGGUUUGUCCAAAGCUGACAAUAAAAGCUGAAUCACCAAAGCUACGUGUUUUAGAGAUGCAGGGCAGUGAGGAAGAGAUGUUCCUGUGGAUAGCUAGACAUGUGACUUCACUGACCAAUCUGAAGCUGCAGAACUGUGAAGGCUCGGAAACAACCUCGGCAGCAGCGGCUGAUAUUAGUUUGAGACAAGCGAUGAGUGCCAUGGAGAAAUGGAACCGUCACGAUUUCCCUCUGGCAGACAUGGAGUUAAUUGGCUUUAAGUCAGGCAUAACCAAGCUAUGUGCAUGCUUUGUACAGCUCCAACGCUUGUGCAUCAAUGAUUGUGCCGCACUUGUCCACUGGCCAGAGAAAGAGUUCCAAAGCUUGCUAUCCUUGAGGAGUCUAAACAUUAUGUCCUGCGGACAACUGGUUGGAUACGCAGCCGAGCCAUCAACAACAACAUCAGAAUCCUCGAGUCAGCUCCUGCCACGCCUGGAGUCUCUCAAGAUAUAUGGCUGUACGAGCAUGGUAGAGGUCUUCAGACUCCCCGCGUCCCUGAGGAAGAUGACGAUUCGCGAUUGCGCGAAGCUCAGGUCCAUAUUCAGCAGCAGGAUGCCACAGCAGGGACAGCCAUCAGCAUCGGCCAUUGUUCAAGGCUCACCACCUGUAUAUUCGGAGGUGCUCCCAUGCUUAGAAGAGAUAGAUAUACGGGGGUGCGACGGAUUAACAGGGGGCCUUGAUCUUCCCCCGUCCCUCAAGCACGUAAGCGUCUAUCGGUGCAGUGGGUUGAGGUCAGUGGAAUCUCACUCGGGAGAGUUCCCGUCGCUGGAGAGCCUCUCCAUCGGGCUCUGUGAGACCCUGUCAUCCCUACCGGAUGGCCCACGAGCAUACCCGUCUCUCAGAAUGCUCAAGGUCUACGACUGUCCGGGUAUGAAGAGGCUCCCUGCUUGCCUGCAGCAACGCUUAGGUAGCCUCGAGGGGAUAACUCUAGAUGCCCAUCAUCAAGGACCUAUUCUGUCGAAGCCCAAGACAUGGAUAAAUGGCCUCUGUAGAGGUUAGUUGAGCUGUCGACAUGUGUGUGACACCAUCACCAUGUGAAGCUACCAAGCAGCAGCAGGAGAUGGUGAUGCCCCAUACAUAUAUUUUGAGUUAUCUUCUGGUGUCGGUUGUGCAUGGUGGAACUGUUUCCUCACACACAACCUAGGUAGAGUAGAGCUCAUGUCUGAAUAAAGUUGGAGUAUUUCACGCUCUAUGGCAAGAAUUCCGUGACACUUGGUUUAGGCAUCCAUCAUGUCAUCAUCUCUGUUACAAGAGAUAUCCCAUUUGCUGGGAUGCUACAUGAUUUCUGUUUUGCUAAGAGAAAUUUGUGAGAAUGUCACUGGUCUUUUGUCGAACUCUGGCACGCGCCUCCUAUGACGACCCAUGGCUGGGGGCGGCCGGCCGAGCUCCACCUCCGCCCCCCUCCUCCGAUGUGCUGUUUGUCAGUGGUUUCCUCCUUGAUAUUUGGCCAUGACAAGCGUAUCAUUCAAUUAAGUUGCUCACCUAUGAAAUAUUGGCAAGGACUUUGGGCUUCU